rnacentral:rRNA from 1 species
GCAAGUCGAGCGAGACCGUCGACUUCGGUCGAUUAGUAAAGCGGCGAACGGGUGAGUAACGCGUGGGUAACCUGCCCUGGAGUGGGGAAUAACCUGGAGAAACUCGGGCUAAUACCGCAUACGACCUCAGCACUGCGGUGCUGAGAGGAAAGCUGGCCAAUUCUUGAAAGCUAGCGCUCCCGGAGGGGCCCGCGCCCGAUUAGCUUGUUGGUGAGGUAACGGCUCACCAAGGCUGUGAUCGGUAGCCGGCCUGAGAGGGCGAUC